GACGAACGCUGGCGGCGUGCCUAAUACAUGCAAGUAGAACGCUGAAGGAGGAGCUUGCUUCUCUGGAUGAGUUGCGAACGGGUGAGUAACGCGUAGGUAACCUGCCUGGUAGCGGGGGAUAACUAUUGGAAACGAUAGCUAAUACCGCAUAACAGUAGAUAUCGCAUGAUAUCUACUUGAAAGGUGCAAUUGCAUCACUACCAGAUGGACCUGCGUUGUAUUAGCUAGUUGGUGAGGUAACGGCUCACCAAGGCGACGAUACAUAGCCGACCUGAGAGGGUGAUCGGCCACACUGGGACUGAGACACGGCCCAGACUCCUACGGGAGGCAGCAGUAGGGAAUCUUCGGCAAUGGACGGAAGUCUGACCGAGCAACGCCGCGUGAGGGAAGAAGGUUUUCGGAUCGUAAAGCUCUGUUGUAAGAGAAGAACGAGUGUGAGAGUGGAAAGUUCACACUGUGACGGUAUCUUACCAGAAAGGGACGGCUAACUACGUG
rnacentral:rRNA from 1 species